UACGUAGGGUGCAAGCGUUUAAUCGGAAUUACUGGGCGUAAAGCGUGCGCAGGCGGUUUUGUAAGUCUGUCGUGAAAUCCCCGGGCUCAACCUGGGAAUUGCGAUGGAGACUGCAAGGCUAGAAUCUGGCAGAGGGGGGGUAGAAUUCCACGUGUAGCAGUGAAAUGCGUAGAGAUGUGGAGGAACACCGAUGGCGAAGGCAGCCCCCCUGGGUCAAGAUUGACGCUCAUGCACGAAAGGCGUGGGGAGCAAACAGGAUUAGAAACCCGUGG
rnacentral:rRNA from 1 species